rnacentral:rRNA from 1 species
GAUGAACGCUAGCGGGAGGCUUAACACAUGCAAGUCGAGGGGCAGCAUAGGGUAGCAAUACUCUGAUGGCGACCGGCAAACGGGUGAGUAACGCGUAUGUAACCUACCCUGUACAGGGGGAUAACCCGGAGAAAUUCGGACUAAUAUCCCAUAACAAUAUCCGGGGGCAUCUUUGGAUAUUUAAAGUUCCGGCGGUACGGGAUGGGCAUGCGUAACAUUAGCUAGUUGGUAAGGUAACGGCUUACCAAGGCUUUGAUGUUUAGGGGUCCUGAGAGGGUGGUCCCCCACACUGGUACUGAGACACGGACCAGACUCCUACGGGAGGCAGCAGUGAGGAAUAUUGGUCAAUGGGCGCAAGCCUGAACCAGCCAUCCCGCGUGCAGGAAGACGGCGCUAUGCGUUGUAAACUGCUUUUCCAGGGAGAGAAACUUGCGCACGUGUUGCGCAAUUGACGGUACCCUGGGAAUAAGCAUAGGCUAACUCCGUG